rnacentral:misc_RNA from 1 species
GAUGAAGAACGCAGCGAAAUGCGAUAAGUAGUGUGAAUUGCAGAAUUCAGUGAAUCAUCGAAUCUUUGAACGCACAUUGCGCCCUUUGGUAUUCCUUAGGGCAUGCCUGUUCGAGCGUCAUCUAAACCUUCAAGCUCAGCUUGGUGAUGGGCGACUGUCCCCCCCCCUCGCGGGGGGGACUCGCCUCAAAAACAUUGGCGGCCGGUACAUUGGCUUCGAGCGCAGCAGAAACGCGGUCUCGAGCCCGGUGGAUCGGCUCCCAUAAGCCUAUUCUUUUAUUUUGACCUCGGAUCAGGUAGGGAUACCCGCUGAACCUAAGCAUAUCAAUAAGCGGAGGA